rnacentral:rRNA from 1 species
GACGAACGCUGGCGGCGUGCUUAACACAUGCAAGUCGAACGGUGAAGCGCCUUCCUUUUUGGUGGGUGUGGAUGAGUGGCGAACGGGUGAGUAACACGUGAGUAACCUGCCCCCUUCUUCUGGAUAACCGCAUGAAAGUGUGGCUAAUACGGGAUAUUCUGGGUCUGUCGCAUGAUGGGUCUGGGAAAGAUAUUGUUUCGGUGGGGGAUGGGCUCGCGGCCUAUCAGCUUGUUGGUGGGGUGAUGGCCUACCAAGGCGGUGACGGGUAGCCGGCCUGAGAGGGUGGACGGUCGCACUGGGACUGAGGCACGGCCCAGACUCCUACGGGAGGCAGCAGUGGGGAAUAUUGCACAAUGGGCGCAAGCCUGAUGCAGCGACGCCGCGUGAGGGAUGGAGGCCUUCGGGUUGUGAACCUCUUUCGCCAGUGAAGCAGGCCUGCCUCGUUUGUGGGUGGGUUGACGGUAGCUGGAUAAGAAGCGCCGGCUAACUACGUG